UCCCGUAGGAGUCCGGGCGGAGUCUUCCUUGCAACAGAAGUCGUGGACGGAGCCCAGCUCCCGUUGGAGUCCGGGCGGAGUCUCCCUUGCAGUAGAAGUCGUGGACGGAGCGGCGGGAGUUCACCAACAGUAGUCGAAAGUACAGAGGGUCGAUCCCGCCAAGAACUUCGGCCGAGGGAAUUUUAUACCCAACACCAGUCCCCCCACUUU
rnacentral:lncRNA from 1 species